rnacentral:lncRNA from 1 species
UAUCAGCAGUACUAUGAUAUUAUUAGUAUAAUAUGGUAAUAAUAGUACAAAGGUACUGUUAUUCUUAUAAAAUUAAAACUAGUGUAUCAUAUUAUAAUGCAUAAUAAUUCAUUUCCAUAUUUUACCAUAUUAUCAUAUAACAAAUAUUCUCCCAUUUAUAUUAUUAUUAUGUUAUUUAUUAUAUUAUAAUUAUAUUUAUAUUACUACAUAAUGCAUUCUAACAGUGUGGUGUUAUCUAAUAUAUGAUAUAGUAUUUUUGACCUCUUGAUAGGAUGGGGGUCUCUAGAUUAUAUAAUUUUUGAAGUAUAAGUAGUUUAGAGAUAGUAGAUCAUAUCCAAUAGCUUAGAUGUGGUAUCCCCAUCAUCUAAUUUAGACUUGAUGGAUCUAAGUGGAUAUCCGCUCGUGUGUAACCAAGUCUUUUUGCAGAUGUAGUACUUCAACAUAAUUCUAUAUAAAUAUUGUGUUCACUGUUUCUGAAGGAGGUACCCAACUUGGUUGCACUUGCAUUUCUCACUUUAUGAAUUUUUGCCAUAUGCAUGUCAAGCUUGAUGAUCAACUUGAAAUGCAUGGAUCAUAUGACAAAAUAAUGAAUGAUUUGCAAGCACACUUCAGUCUUACUGUUGCUAUUAUUGGCACCAUGAGACUCAAACUUUUAGUUUGAUGACAUUAACUUACCUACGAAACGUUCAUGUGACACUCCUAUAGGUUAAAACUAUGUUUGUUUCUUGAUCAUGCCGACCUUAACAAGUGCCAAGAUAAGCAAGUGCACGUGUAGUGACUAACUUAUUGUAGAAGUUGGAACUAACAACCUUCCAGGAAGGCCUCUUCUUUGUUCAUGAUUACUUUACUAUUGUCAACUCGCUAAGAAAGCAAUUUCAAUUUGCGAAUGUGAGGUUAAAAGCCUUAGAUAAGAUUGGUGAUGACCUUGGAGGACAACCACAUCAAAUGUGCAACAUUCAUUCUAACAUAGGCUAAAAUGCAUGAAAAAUUUGAACAUUGCUACAUCCUGUCUGUUGAAAACCUCUAAACCUAAAUGCUCUAACUGAAGCGAGGUAGCGAAGCAGUUCAAGAUUACUGACAAGAGUUUAAGGAUCUCAGCCUUUAGAUGCAGUUCUUUAUGUUCCUGAUCUAGUAGAAUGAGUCAUAUUUUGUGCUAACAGGUAUUGGACUGGUUGUGUGAAACUAGGUUAUUGGAUAUAGGUCAGGUUAUCAAAUUUGAUCAGCAUCAUGACAAUAGAACUGGACCAAACCCUAUAUAGAAAUAUAUGAGAACAACCUGGGAAGUUUUGUUGUCAUUUCGGAAAAGUUGCAAAUUAUCUAUGACUAGCCUACUCUUGCCUACUGUUCCCUACUUGACUCUCUGUAUUCUUCUUCUCCUUGUUUUCACAUUAUAUUUCAUCUUUCUAACUUUCCUUAUAUCAAUUCAUUCCUUAUUCUGCCUAAUUUUCUCUAAUCUUUGUUCGCCUUCUUGUUCAAUUCUUUUGUUCUUUCUUUCUUCAUACAGAUCUUAAAUUGAAUCCAAAUAAGGAAUCAAUGACUUCAUCAGAUCCAUGACUUCACAUAUACAACCUGUCCCCAUAUCCAAAUGCAAUUUAGUCUCAUCAUCUGUUGAAUAAAUCCAUAUCCUUGUUUCUUCAAUGAGCUAUUAAUUUACCACGGCACCUUUUAGCUACUCAAAUUUCAGUGUUGAUCGACUUGAAUACUGUUUCAGAUACUUCAAGGAGUUUUGUUUUGCUUUAGUUCUCAACAGUGAUCACAUUGCUGCUCAAUGCCAGUUUAUUUGUUCUUAAUUUAGUAUAUACAUUGUGAAAUUGGUUGCAUACAGCAUCAAUUCAUGGAAUAUUUUUGUUCUGUCUUCUGUCUCUCAUUGCGUUUAAUAUUAUGGUGUCAAACCAAAAAGAUUCAAUUGAUUCCAUAUAAAGGAAUAGUACUACACCAUUUAUCAACUUAGGAUCAAAACCUAUUGAUCUGAUAUGUAAACAAAUCAUGCCCAGGAGUUCAUGUUUGCAUAUUUUCACUUGAUCAUUGUUAAAUUGAAAGAUGUUGAUGGGUGGUGCCAGUGCUAGUAAUUGUCUCUGGCUGUAGCUGUAAGAUUAGAGUAGCAUGAAGCUCCGACUAGUGGAAAUCUGACACUAGAAUGUGCUUGGUGAAAUAGCAUUGUCCCUUCA